rnacentral:rRNA from 1 species
UAACACCUGGAAACAGAUGCUAAUACCGGAUAACAACAGAUGAUGCCUAUCAACUGUUUAAAAGAUGGUUCUGCUAUCACUCUUGGAUGGACCUGCGGUGCAUUAGCUAGUUGGUAGGGUAACGGCCUACCAAGGCGAUGAUGCAUAGCCGAGUUGAGAGACUGAUCGGCCACAUUGGGACUGAGACGCGGCCCAAACUCCUACGGGAGGCAGCAGGC